rnacentral:rRNA from 1 species
UACGGAGGGGGCUAGCGUUGUUCGGAAUUACUGGGCGUAAAGCGCACGUAGGCGGUUUCCCAAGUCAGAGGUGAAAGCCCGGGGCUCAACUCCGGAAUUGCCCUUGAAACUAGGAAACUUGAACACGGGAGAGGUGAGUGGAAUUCCGAGUGUAGAGGUGAAAUUCGUAGAUAUUCGGAAGAACACCAGUGGCGAAGGCGGCUCACUGGACCGUUGUUGACGCUGAGGUGCGAAAGCGUGGGGAGCAAACAGG